rnacentral:rRNA from 1 species
GACGAACCGUGCGAACGUUGUUCGGAAUCACUGGGCUUAAAGGGCGCGUAGGCGGCUUGGCAAGUCAGGGGUGAAAGCUUUCGGCUCAACCGGAAAAGUGCCCCUGAUACUGCCGAGCUCGAGGGAGGUAGGGGCGGACGGAACUUCCGGUGGAGCGGUGAAAUUCGUAGAUAUCAGGAGGAACACCGGUGGCGAAGGCGGAUCUCUGGGCCAUUACUGACGCUGAGGAGCGAAAGCGUGGGGAGCGAACAGG